AGAGGUCAUGUACCAUGUGGUCGACCUUGCUGACGCUGAAGAGGUUUCUGUGUAAAAAUGAUGACAUUGAGACAAACAGACCAGUUCUGGCUGCCGUGGAGGUCAACACACCACUGAUCUACUGGCUGCCCUUCAACGUGAUGCCCAGCCGAUGCCUGACCACCGACGGAACUAGGGCUGCACGAUAAGUCGCAUGUGUUUGUCAGGCGCAUCUCCUCAGUAAUGCCGGUUCCUUGAUUAGUAUUAAAUCGCCAUCAGCUGUUUUCAGAUGUAGCAGCUUUAACUACACAGAGCCGUAGUUCACUGACAAUCGGGGCAAUUUCGCAUUAAUUAUCGCGGACGUAUCGGCUGCGAUAUGUAUGCGAUAUGGCCCAGCUUGUCAGGGAACUACGGCUCUGUAGUUAAAGCUGCUCCAUCUGAAAACAGCUGAUGGCGAUUUAAUACUAAUCAAGGAACCGGCAUUACUGAGGAGAUGCGCCUGACAAACACAUGCGAUUUAUCGUGCAGCCCUAGACGGAACCCGUUAAAUCUCCUUAUCCGUUUACAUCCCAUAUAUAUAUAUGUGUAUAUCUUUUCCUCCUAGGACUUUUUGUUCCUCCCUGAGGUUUUUCUCCUAGGGUUUUUUUAACCCCGGGGAGUCAAGCAACAUUGGCUUAACUUAGCACCCUCUUGUAUACGAGACAUUAUUAAUUUGCUCACUUGUAAAGUUUAUUCAUAGCCGCUGUAUUUUGCUACUUAUAUUGUCUGUCGAUUUUUCUGUUUCCCCUGCUUCUUUUAAUGUAAAGCUGCUUUGAAACAACUACAAAUUGUGAAAAGCGCUAUAUAAAUAAAAUUGAAAUUGAAAUGUCUCUUUCCUGUUUUACAGAUGCAGUGAGGGAGUGAUUCCCCAACAUCGAGGUGGCAGAGAUCCGGGACCUUCUACGGAGGAAGUGCAACAAUGCCAGUUACAAGGCCUCCAGUAGUUCAAAUCAGAGCUAGAUGUCCAUAUAGUACAAGUUGUUCGCAAUUGUUCUCUUCCCGGCAUUUCAAAGAAAGUCGACUGUUUAAGGUUCCCCAUUUUGCCAAUAUCUGUUUUGUGUGUUACUUUUGUGUCAUUAAUAAAGAUCCUUUUUUGAAAUGCA